CAGAAAGAUAUUCACAAGCCAUGCUGCUGUGGGACUUCAGAACAACUCAGGGCCGGGAUACCUGAACAGCUUGUAGGGAACUGGGUGUGACGGUGCUCUCUGAGCCCAGCUGGGCAGGAGGGCUGUAAAUCUGAGCUCAGCCUGGGCGAUUUAGCAACUCAGUGAGGCACUGUAUCAAGAGGGAGAGAGAGAGGAGAGAGAAAAGAGAGAAAGGAAGAAAAAGAAAGGAAGGAAGAAAGAGAGAAAGAAAGGGAAAGAAAGAAAGAAGGCUGAGAAGGGAGUACAGUGUAGGAACCUUAGUUGCAAUCCCUGUUCUGGGAGGAGAAAGGCUUACAGGAAGAAGAAAAAGAGGCGAAAUAUAAAGACGCAGUUUCCCAGCAGCAGCCCUGGGAGGUCCAAGAUGCUGGUGCUGUCUGGAGCCAGGCAGUUCCCUCCCCGCAGUGCUGUCCUUGUAGAAACGACCAGUCCACUGCCAGGGCACAAGGAAGACGUGUCCGGAAGUUGGGGGCAGCAAUCAUUCCGCAAAGAAGUGGGGUCUUGAAAACGCUCCCGAGGCCAAGAGGCGAAACGUAAUGAGACGGAGAGCACUACAGAUAAAGGAAAAGCCCUCACAGGAAGCACAUGGAGUCUUCAGCUGGGUACAAACGGGGCGGGAGGAAGAGGGCCCCGCCCCGGAAGUCGUCUCCGGAAGUGCGGCCCUCGGCGCGGAUCCGAAGAUUUCCCCGGAGCGGCCGGAACCUGCUCUGCCCAGGCACCCUGUAUGGGUGUGGGGUCCGCUUGGGCUACCGAGACAAGGUAUGGGACACCGUGACAGUGCCCCAGCAUGUGUGGGAACUCCAGUCUGGGCUGUGGGGGAAUCUGCCACCCACACCAGUGGGCACCGGCCAUUCACAGGAAUAUGACAGCAAGGACACCUGUAGAAACCUCCUGAUACUUCUACCACCCACCAAACAUGUGGUCAAGCUCUGGCUGGAGAUGAGCCUGAUUUCUCUGACUGUGGAAUCUGCUGUUAUUUUGUGGGAAUUCUUGGAACUGGGGCUUUUUAAAAAUAGAAUCUCACUAUGCUGUCUCCAGACUCAUCUUGGACUUGCAAUCCUCUUGCUUCAGCCUCACAAGUUGUUGGGACUGCAGGUGUGCGCCACUGUACCCAGUGGAAUUUCUGCUUCCUAAAUUUAUUCAUGAGCUUGCAAGGACAUUGAGAAAGAGACUGGGAGUGAAUUGAAUAGCAAUAGCAGCCCUAGGAAAGAUAGAAUAAUGCCCCUAGAAAGCAGAGACCAGUGCUGAGUUCCGGGCUGGGCACAAUGGGGUGCUGCCCCAAGCUCCUGCUCAGUCCAUGUUGGAGUCCAUUUUCAGUCUGGCCCCUUUUCAGAAGUGGCUUUUAUAGUCAAAAGGGCGAACUCAGACCACCUCCCUCUGUCACUGAAGUAGCAAAGGGACCAGGCUCACGAUUCCUCGAUGUAAGGACAAAGCCUCUUUUGUUACUUGCAGACCUUAUUGCAAGAACAAAUAUUCAUGAAAACCAAUCAAUGGAGGCUUAGUUAUUGGAGUGGACAGUGGUCAAUGGAGUUAGCAGAGUCCAAAAAUGAUCUGUAAGUAGACAAGGGUCCUUAGAUGAGAAAGCAUGCAGAGACAGUUUAUGGGGCCAGGAUAAUGUGGGGAAGACAAGACAAUGCCCAAGAAGAUAGAAGAAGAGAGCCAUACCCUGGGCAGAGCGGCAUCUCAUUUGGAUCAGCCCCAGGCCAUUCCCAGAAUCCUCCUGGCCAAGAGUGCGGGAUCUCCCUGUAAGGCCCGGCCUGUGCAGGUCCAGCUCAAACCCAAGGCACAGCUGUACAGUGGUGCCCUGCUUAGCCUCAUGAACAAUCAGGAAAAUGAUGGACUUCUUAUUUCAGCAUGUGGAUUUUAUCAUCAGCGUGUCACUGAAAUAGACACACACACACACACACACACACACACACAAACAUGGGGAAGAUCUGCUGGUAUAACAGUAGGGGAGGCAAUUUAGGAUGUUUAAAAAAUGGUGAGAAUAGUUAAAGGAACUCAUUUUGAAAACAUCAGGAAGGAAGCCAAAUACAUAGUGAAGAGAGGUGAGGGAUGCAGGGGAGGGGGACAGCCUGGAGGUCCCAGCCUGGGCUUGGGAUGUGGGGUUUUCUCUUCCUGAUUCCUACAGGAAACCUGACAGGUGGAGAGGAUGGGACCCAGAGCUUGAGGAGGGGGAAAGAGAAUAUUAAAAAUAAGAACAGAAAUCAAUGAACGUGAUAAGGCUACAAAACAAGCAAUGAAGGAAUUUAACAAAAUGAAAAGACUUGUGAAAAGACUUGGAAAGACUAUUAAAGGGCAAAAGGAAAAAAGGAAGAAUCAAGAAAUACAGAAAGAAAGAAACUAAGGAACAGAGGGUUGGGGGAAGCAUCAGGAUUUAGAAAGGCGGCAGUGAAGCAGGAAACAGUGAGGACCCCAGCACAGGUAAUUCUCUAACAUAAAGAUAGGAGCAAAAAGUGGCUUUUAAUGAUGCCAGCAGCUCAGCAAGUGACUCCCAUCAGUCUAGAGGCCUGAAUAGAAGUUUGCAUUUCCUUGUGUGCCUCCUCCCCGGGAAUAGAGCAAGCAGGAUUCACACAAAGCAGAGCAGUGGGACAGGGAGAGCAAAGACUCUGGCAGGACUUCCUGAGUCCAUGACCCUCCUCUGGUGACAGAUCACAGAAGUUGUCAUGGCUGCUCAGCUGCAUUCUACAGACAGCUCAGUUACCCAGUUGACCCACAGCUGCCCAAUUCCAUAGAAGGGGUGGUCUCCUCUCCCAGUAGUGCUAUAGCUCUCAUGGUAGGGGACAUCAUGGCUAAUUUUGUUGUAAAACAUUUGUAAGUUAAGAUGCUAAUGGACAAAUUCCUAGAAAAGUACAACCUACUGGAGUAACAUUUUAAAAAAUCAGAAUCACGCUGUAAUUAUUAAAGUAAUGGAAUCCAGAAUUUAACAGUGCCCCUCCCAACCCCAAUCCCAGGAACAGAAGCCUUCAUAAGCAAAUCUGACAGAUAGUUAAGGAAGGAAUAUCACUAAAAUUGAAUAAUUGCUUUAUAGAAUAAAAUAAAAAAGAAUCACUUCUCAGUUAUCCAUGGGAGUAGAUCCCUGCUAGGAAAAUUUGACAAAGACCUCACACUUUACAAAAAAAGAAAAUUACAGACUAAUUUCAUGAGCGAACAAACAUAGAUGAAAAAGCCCAAAGCCAAAUCAUAACAAAUCAUAUUCUGCAGUAUAGAAAUAGGAUAGCACAUCAUGACUAAGCAGC
rnacentral:lncRNA from 1 species